rnacentral:lncRNA from 1 species
UUGUUUAUGAAUACGCUGAGAAAGGAGAUUUGCACCAAUGGCUUCAUGGACCAGCUGGGAGAAAUCGGCCUCUGACCUGGAGAAAGAGAAUGAAGAUCAUUCAAGGAAUAGCAAAAGGGUCUGAUGAUCUUUUCUAUAUAUAUAUACUAUUUCAACCACUUUUUUCUUAUGCAUGAAUGAUAUAAGUUUGUGUUCUGAUCAGCCUUGCGUAUAUUCAUGAGGACAUCGAACCGAAGAUCACUCAUCAAGACAUAAGACCAAGCAAGAUUCUUCUUGACUAUCAAUGGAACCCUAAGAUACUUGAUGUUGGAUUCAUCGGUCAUAGUGAUGUUCCAACUUUUAUUUCUUCACCUGAUAAUCUAGAUGAGAAAAUUGACGUCCAUUGCUUCGGGACUUUGAUAUUGGAGCUUGUCUCUGGGAGAGUCUCUGUAGACCAAAGCUCAUCACCACAUGUGAGCUAGAGUUCAUAUACAUCAUACAUAUUAUUAUCACAAAUCCCAUUGGCUAAUUAGCUUACCGGAAACAAUGUUGUUCUUUUGGUAUAGGUUUAUCUAGUGGACUGGAUCAAAGAG